rnacentral:rRNA from 1 species
AGUGAACGCUGGCGGUAGGCCUAACACGUGCAAGUCGAACGGCAGCACAGUAAGAGCCUGCUCUUACGGGUGGCGAGUGGCGGACGGGUGAGGAAUACAUCGGAAUCUACUUUUUCGUGGGGGAUAACGUAGGGAAACUUACGCUAAUACCGCAUACGACCUACGGGUGAAAGCAGGGGAUCUUCGGACCUUGCGCGAUUGAAUGAGCCGAUGUCGGAUUAGCUAGUUGGCGGGGUAAAGGCCCACCAAGGCGACGAUCCGUAGCUGGUCUGAGAGGAUGAUCAGCCACACUGGAACUGAGACACGGUCCAGACUCCUACGGGAGGCAGCAGUGGGGAAUAUUGGACAAUGGGCGCAAGCCUGAUCCAGCCAUACCGCGUGGGUGAAGAAGGCCUUCGGGUUGUAAAGCCCUUUUGUUGGGAAAGAAAAGCAGCAGGUUAAUACCCCGCUGUUCUGACGGUACCCAAAGAAUAAGCACCGGCUAACUUCGUG